GCUUGCUACCUGACCUAGCGGCGGACGGGUGAGUAAUGCUUAGGAAUCUGCCUAUUAGUGGGGGACAACAUUCCGAAAGGAAUGCUAAUACCGCAUACGCCCUACGGGGGAAAGCAGGGGAUCUUCGGACCUUGCGCUAAUAGAUGAGCCUAAGUCAGAUUAGCUAGUUGGUGGGGUAAAGGCCUACCAAGGCGACGAUCUGUAGCGGGUCUGAGAGGAUGAUCCGCCACACUGGGACUGAGACACGGCCCAGACUCCUACGGGAGGCAGCAGUGGGGAAUAUUGGACAAUGGGCGAAAGCCUGAUCCAGCCAUGCCGCGUGUGUGAAGAAGGCCUUUUGGUUGUAAAGCACUUUAAGCGAGGAGGAGGCUACUUGGAUUAAUACUCUAGGAUAGUGGACGUUACUCGCAGAAUAAGCACCGGCUAACUCUGUGCCAGCAGCCGCGGUAAUACAGAGGGUGCGAGCGUUAAUCGGAUUUACUGGGCGUAAAGCGUGCGUAGGCGGCUUUUUAAGUCGGAUGUGAAAUCCCUGAGCUUAACUUAGGAAUUGCAUUCGAUACUGGGAAGCUAGAGUAUGGGAGAGGAUGGUAGAAUUCCAGGUGUAGCGGUGAAAUGCGUAGAGAUCUGGAGGAAUACCGAUGGCGAAGGCAGCCAUCUGGCCUAAUACUGACGCUGAGGUACGAAAGCAUGGGGAGCAAACAGGAUUAGAUACCCUGGUAGUCCAUGCCGUAAACGAUGUCUACUAGCCGUUGGGGCCUUUGAGGCUUUAGUGGCGCAGCUAACGCGAUAAGUAGACCGCCUGGGGAGUACGGUCGCAAGACUAAAACUCAAAUGAAUUGACGGGGGCCCGCACAAGCGGUGGAGCAUGUGGUUUAAUUCGAUGCAACGCGAAGAACCUUACCUGGUCUUGACAUAGUAAGAACUUUCCAGAGAUGGAUUGGUGCCUUCGGGAACUUACAUACAAGUGCUGCAUGGCUGUCGUCAGCUCGUGUCGUGAGAUGUUGGGUUAAGUCCCGCAACGAGCGCAACCCUUUUCCUUAUUUGCCAGCGGGUUAAGCCGGGAACUUUAAGGAUACUGCCAGUGACAAACUGGAGGAAGGCGGGGACGACGUCAAGUCAUCAUGGCCCUUACGACCAGGGCUACACACGUGCUACAAUGGUCGGUACAAAGGGUUGCUACCUAGCGAUAGGAUGCUAAUCUCAAAAAGCCGAUCGUAGUCCGGAUUGGAGUCUGCAACUCGACUCCAUGAAGUCG
rnacentral:rRNA from 1 species